rnacentral:rRNA from 1 species
GGACGUCACAGAGGGUGAGAAUCCCGUACGUGACCGGUGGUCAACCCCAUGUGANGCUCCUUCNACNAGUCNAGUUGUUUGGNAAUGCAGCUCUNAAUGGGUGGUNAAUUUCAUCUAANGCUAAAUAUUGNCCANAGACCGAUAGCGCACAAGUANAGUGAUCGAAAGAUGAAAAGCACUUUGGAAAGAGAGUUAAAAAGUACGUGAAAUUGUUGAAAGGGAAGCGCUUGCNACCAGACUUGCCCGCGGGUGAUCAACCGUCCUUCNGGGCGGUGCACUCNCCCNCNAUCANGCCANUAUCGGUUUCAGCANCCGGACAAAGACGUCGGGAACGUAGCUCCUCUCGGGGAGUGUUAUAGCCCGGGGUGUAAUACGGUUAGUUGGGACCGANGACCGCGCUUCGGCUAGGAUACUGGCGUAAUGGUUGUCAGCGACCCGUCUUGAAACACGGACCAANGAGUCUACCAUCUAUGCNAGUGUUUGGGUGUUAAACCCAUGCGCGCAAUGAAAGUGAACGGAGGUGGGAACCCUUCGGCGGGCACCAUCNACCGAUCCUGAUGUCUUCGGAUGGAUUUGAGUACGAGCAUA